CGAGCGGAUGACGGGAGCUUGCUCCUUGAUUCAGCGGCGGACGGGUGAGUAAUGCCUAGGAAUCUGCCUGGUAGUGGGGGACAACGUUCCGAAAGGAGCGCUAAUACCGCAUACGUCCUACGGGAGAAAGUGGGGGAUCUUCGGACCUCACGCUAUCAGAUGAGCCUAGGUCGGAUUAGCUAGUUGGUGAGGUAAAGGCUCACCAAGGCGACGAUCCGUAACUGGUCUGAGAGGAUGAUCAGUCACACUGGAACUGAGACACGGUCCAGACUCC
rnacentral:rRNA from 1 species